AANAANUNUCCAANCCANANCNGGUNAAGAAAAACGGCCNUNUNGGGUUNUAAANNUGCUUUUUUANCNGGAAGAAAUAAUNNCCCNACNGNUGGCCAAANGNANCGUUACCCGNNNGAAUAANGNACCGNGNUNAAUUUCCGUUNCNAACAANCCCACGNUAAUANNGAGGGGUCCCGANGCNUUAUCCCGGAAUUCNUUNGGGUUUAAAANGGGUCCGUNGGCNGNAUUNAGUAAGUCAAGGGGNNAAAGUUUGGCGGGCUCCAACCCGUAAAAAUNGCCUUUUGAUANNUNCUGGUUCUUGAGUUACGGUGAAGUGGCCCGGAAUAUGUGGUGUAGCGGUGAAAAUGCAUAGAUAUCACAUAGNAACACCGAUUGCGAAGGGCAGGUCACUAACCGUAUANUGACGCUGAUGGACGAAAGCGUGGGGGAGCAAACGGGAUUAGAUACCCCGGUAGUCCACGCCGUAAACGAUGGACACUAGCUGUUGGGUUUUCGGACUCGGCGGCCAAGCGAAAGUGAUAAGUGUCCACCUGGGGAGUACGUUCGCAAGAAUGAAACUCAAAGGAAUUGACGGGGGCCCGCACAAGCGGUGGAGCAUGUGGUUUAAUUCGAUGAUACGCGAGGAACCUUACCAGGGCUUAAAUGUAGUGGGACAGGCUUAGAGAUAGGCUUUUCUUCGGACUCAUUACAAGGUGCUGCAUGGUUGUCGUCAGCUCGUGCCGUGAGGUGUCAGGUUAAGUCCUAUAACGAGCGCAACCCUUACCGUUAGUUGCCAGCGAGUCAAGUCGGGGACUCUAACGGGACUGCCGGUGCAAACCGUGAGGAAGGUGGGGAUGACGUCAAAUCAUCACGGCCCUUACGUCCUGGGCUACACACGUGCUACAAUGGCCGGUACAAUGAGCAGCCACUUCGCAAGAAGGCGCGAAUCUAUAAAACCGGUCACAGUUCGGAUCGGGGUCUGCAACCCGACCCCGUGAAGCUGGAAUCGCUAGUAAUCGGAUAUCAGCCAUGAUCCGGUGAAUACGUUCCCGGGCCUUGUACACACCGCCCGUCAAGCCAUGGAAGCCGGGAGUGCCUGAAGUCCGUCACCGCAAGGAGCGGCCUAGGGCAAGAUCGGUAACUAGGGCUAAGUCGUAACAAGGUAACCAUCCAGCUCGACCAGU
rnacentral:rRNA from 1 species